GUUACAGAAGUGUUGGUCUUCAGCUCAGCUGCAGCUAUGCCUCUCUCUGGCUUUGAACACUGCUGAUUUUGGACCCCAGCCUGUGGAUUGACUUUCUGACUCAACCUCAGACUUCCUUCAUCACCACAUUUUUGCUAAUGGACUGGGUGCUUGGCUGCCAUCCCCAAACCUGUCCUGCUUGCUGUGCUUGGUUGCUGCAAGGCUGCACUCUGACAGUGAGGCACCUGCCAUGUCAGCUGCGUUGUGCUUGGCUCCUGGCUCCCCAUCUUUCAGGUAGAAGAAAGAAAUGGCUGAGGAACCUGGAGCAGAAGCAGAAGACACGGAAGGAACAAGCACUCCUAUGGUGGUGUGUCCUCCUCCUGGCACGUAGCCCUGAAUACAGGGAGUCUAUCGCAAAUCUAUAUGAGGUGAUGGGGGCAGAGUGGGUUCUCUAAUUAACAGCAGCAAUAAUUACGGCUGUGCCGGUGUGGGGCGGCCGCUGUCCGUGGUGCUGGAGGCGCCGGCUCUCAGCUGCCGUCGGCUGAGAGCACGAGGGCAGGUGAGGCACUGGGGGAAGUGGUUAGUGGGCACAGUGGGGAUGGGUCAGUGUAGGACCAGAUGAGCCUAGUCUUUUCCAACCUUAGUGAUUCUAUGAUCCGAGCCCAUUUCCUAAUUUCCACUUUAUAGAAUUGUGGCUGGCAGACUUACAAAAAAAAAAAAAAGUUGUAACAAAUACUUGUGAAAAAGGUAAAGGUAAUUUUCCACCACACUUAAUGAUGGUGAAGACAGCUUUUGUUAUACUUGCAAUGGCAAACUGCACUUUAGAAGGAGGAGUUUGUUUUGUGACAUCCUGAGCCAGCCAAUUUAAACUCACCUGUGUCAUUAGAUGCCAAAAGGAGGGAAAGGAAAUGCUUCAGCUUCAAGAAAAGCCUCGUUGAAAUAGCUCAUGCCCUUCUAGCUCUGGGAUAAGGCAACCACAAAACAGAAAGCGACAGACUUUCUUGGUUCCACAGUUAUCAAAAUUACUUGUUCUCAAAAUGAUGAUUCAUCAAAAACUUCUUACAUUUUUGGACACGCCAGAUUGGAUGAUCGCUGUGGAUUCAUCAUCUCCCCAGUUUGCUCGGAGGUGACAGACAGCAGUGAGCAAGCACUUAAAUUAGAGGUGUGAGCAGCUUCAGAAAAUGACCUCCUCAACUGGACCUUAUGAUGGUCAUUUGGGCAACAUUUGCCUUGAGUUGAAAUGGAAAGCUACCAAAGGAUUGAAACAGAAGUCAAGAAUUAGAAAAAGGCUCAUGAGAACUUCACAGAAAGGCAGGAAAUCUGUGGUGAGGCACAGGAAGUCAGCAGUCUUUUUUUAGUUGAC
ensembl:lncRNA